UACGUAUGGGGCAAGCGUUAUCCGGAUUUACUGGGUGUAAAGGGAGCGUAGACGGUAAUACAAGUCUGGAGUGAAAGGCAUGGGCUCAACCCGUGGACUGCUCUGGAAACUGUAUAACUAGAGUACCGGAGGGGUAAGCGGAAUUCCUGGUGUAGCGGUGAAAUGCGUAGAUAUCAGGAGGAACACCGGUGGCGAAGGCGGCUUACUGGACGGAAACUGACGUUGAGGCUCGAAAGCGUGGGGAGCAAAC
rnacentral:rRNA from 1 species